rnacentral:lncRNA from 1 species
AAGCGUGGAAACAAGUCAGGAUUGCCAUUGCGACCGAGAACUGAAGCCUCCGGUCGGCGGAAUUGUUGAGUGCUGUGUCUACAAACACUUACACCUGGCCCGCCUGCGAAACCAAGCAGCCCUGACGUAAGCGGAUGAAGGAAGUGCCACAAUUAACCGCUCAUCGAUAUGAAACUCAUAUUGCUGAUUGCUAUUGCGGUUGCACAUUCCUUGAUCUGUGCGUUUACAACAGAAGUCCGUGUGCCAGUGCUUCUAACAGAUCAAGGUCAGUGCCGAUAUCGCGAUUUAACAAUUACUCCUAAUGAAUCGGUGAGAUCCGAGUGGCCCUGCGAACGGGUAACCUGUAGUGGAGUUGCGGGCAAUUAUUCUGGAAAUGUGUUCAUUGCAGGGUGUCCUCCACCAGAAAACGCAAGCGGAGGCCCGCAACACAAAUGGCCUGGAUGUUGCAGCAGACAGCAAAAUAUGUUAUAAUAAACUGACUAGUAGCAGCUAGUUGGACAUACAUCGCCUCCACUUGAUUAUAUUGUCAAGUUUUCUGGCACGAAAACCGAGCUGGGACAUGGAGAUGGCACAUGGAGAUGGCACAGCUACCAUUUGCUUGCUUUCGAGAAAAAAAUCAUACCAAUCGUCAAAGAAUAGUGAUCAUGUA